rnacentral:tmRNA from 1 species
ACAGGUUUCGACGGGGGUGUGGAGUCAGGAGUAGCGAGUGGAGGUUUUUCCUUGGGGUCCGCCUUAAAAAACUGGGGAAUUAAAGAUAAACGCAAACGAAAAUUACGCUUUAGCAGCUUAAUAUAGCUGCUCGUCCUGCCUAGACUGCCUACGGUUUAGGGUCAGGGCGUCGACUAGUAGGGAACUACCGAGGGGGUGUCUCGACCCAAAGGUGGAACAAUUGGGACUGGUUGAUGGCAAAGCCUGUCAUUGGGCGCUGCUGGAGACGAGAUCUUAAAACAAUGACUGCACUCGGAGAAGCUGUUGGCAAAGUGCUUUCGGACAGGGGUUCGAUUCA